CAAAGAAUUGAUGCUUUUAACCUGUGGUGUUGGAGAAGACUCUUGAGAGUCCCUUGGACUGCAAGGGGAUCCAACCAGUCCAUCCUAAAGGAGAUCAGUCCUGGGUGUUCAUUGGAAGGGCUGAUGUUGAAGCUGAAACUCCAAUACUUUGGCCACCUGAUGCGAAGAGCUGACUCAUUUGAAAAGACCCUGAUGCUGGGAAAGAUUGAGGGGAGGAGGAGAAGGGGAUGACAUAGGAUGAGAUGGUUGGAUGACAUCACUGGCUCAAUGAACAUGGGUUUGGGUAGACUCUGGGAGUUGAUGGACAGGAAAGCCUGGUGUGCUGCAAUUCACGGGGUCACAAAGAGUCGGACAUGACUGAGUGACUGAACUGGCCUGGACAGGCAAAGGAUGGGCUUCCCUAGUGGCUCAGCAGUAAAGAUUCUGCCUGCAACGUAGGAGAGCCAGGGAUUGAACCCAUGUAUCUUAUGUCCCCUGCGUUGGAAGGAGAGUUCUUUACCACUAGUGCCGCCUGGGAAACAACCCCCUCCCCACCCAGGUAAUUGUUGAGGUUGCUCACAUUUGAGAACUGCAAGGAAGAGGAGGCUAUGGCUUAGAGAGUAGUAGGGUCAGACAAAUUGUGUUUUCUAGGGCACAGCUGGGGACCCCACUUCACUGUCCAGCUCUGAUGAGUUUAUUCUGGACACCCUCACCCCUUCUUGGCACAGCUGAGGCCCCCACCAAGCUAAAGGCAUGAGGAACAUCUCCAGCUUUCCUGCCUCUGCCCCUACACCUGGAAGAAAGGUCAUGCUGGCUUUUGCUGAGCCUUGUCAUUUCCCUGACGCUUUGAACUGUCACCUGGGCAGGGGGCCGACUCUCAGGAGAGGGACAGUGGCUGGUUGGCAGGUAAGGGACAGCUUGUUUCCCCUUCAUCUUCCUCCAGGUGGCCUGACAGGUGCUGGGCUCCGGCCAGGGGGCUGGAACCAUAGCUCUGUGCAGGAAAGGAGGAGGAUUUGGCGAUGUGUUCAAAGAGAGAUGCUUCCUUGAGUUGGGGGAGGAUAGGAGGGGCCCCUGGACUACCUUUCCCUUUGGAACCUUCAGCUGCGGUGGUGGGAGGUGUAGGCUGGGGUGGCCGGGGUGGGGCUAGGCUGCGGGGAGUGAGUAAGGAGACCUCGUUCUUGGGUCUCACAAGUGGAGGGUGGUGCCCCCAAGAGUGAGUGCCUCCCUAAGAGUGAGAUGUCUAGGGAACAAAAUGUGAGAAGUGGCCACCCUGCUCUUGCAGGAGCCUGAGAAUGGAAGAUCCUUAAAUGUGGUCUCACUCACCUCCCCCCGGUCUCUGUCCUACAGUCCUGCUCACUGCACCCCAGGAAGCCCCUGAGACAUGCCUGAAUCACCGGCAAAGGAGGGAGAGUACAGCAUCAAGAGCAUUCUUGUCUCUCGGACAAGGUCAUCCAUUCUCAGCAUUGACUGUACAUUGCAAACCCCUGUUAUCUUUACAGAAUCCUGAUGUCUGGUCCUCAGAGAUUCUGAUUUAAUUGAUUUGGGGUGCAGCCUGCUCUUAGGGUUUUUAAAGUCUCCCCAGGGGAAUCUCGUGUGCUGUGAAGUGAGAGAAGCUCUAAUCUAGACAGUACAGGGUGGGUGCUGUUUACUGGUUUUCGUCUCAUGGGUUUUCUUGUGAGCAACAGACCACCAGUCUUGAUGCAGACCACUAAAGGUAAUGCAAGAACAUUUAGAACAAAGCAGAUGGAAUAUGAGGAGACUAGAAAGAAAACCCAGUUCCCAGUCCAUGCCAGACACACCAUGUUUUUAUUUAACACUCAACCCUGGGAGGUCGAUAUUCUCAGGCUCAGUUUACAGAUGAGGAACCCGAGUCUUGGCCGUGUUAACCACUCGCCCGGGUCCCACUGCUGUGGGCUGGCAGUUCUGUAAAUGAAAUGGAUAUGUGACAGGCAGCUGGCAGGAAGGGAAGGCAGAGCUUCUGCUUUCAGACUCGUUUCUCAAAGCAUUUCUGGG
ensembl:lncRNA